UUUUUUGGAAAUAUGUAUAAAAUAGACAUUUAAUGUGAAUGUUACCUAAAAAUGUUUAAUACUAGUGCUUUAAUGCAGACAAAAUAACAAAUAAUUCAUGACUGCAGUGAAAAGGUUAAAAUGAAUGUGAGAAUAAAAAUAAUCCAGGGGCUCAGCCCGUGGACGGUGUGAGGCUGGUAAUGGCCUCCGUCGUGCCAGGGUCCGGUCUUCUCUGAGUCUGGGAAUGUUUGGGAAAGCAGCCCAAAGCGGGUGGUAUACUCCAUCUAAAGCUAAAUACCAGCAUGAGACCGAUAGUCAACAAGUACCUUAAGGGAAAGGUAAAAGAACUUUGAAGAGAGAGUUCAAGAGGGCGUGAAGCCGUUGACAGGUAAACGGGUGGGGUCGCUACGCCCUCUCCCUGGCUCGCCCCUGGGGACGGGG
rnacentral:ncRNA from 1 species